rnacentral:rRNA from 1 species
CCUACGGGCGGCAGCAGUGAGGAAUAUUGGUCAAUGGACGAGAGUCUGAACCAGCCAAGUAGCGUGAAGGAUGAGUGCCCUAUGGGUUGUAAACUUCUUUUAUAAAGGAAUAAAACGAGGCACGUGUGCCUUUUUGCAUGUACUUUAUGAAUAAGGAUCGGCUAACUCCGUGCAAGCAGCCGCGGUAAUACGGAGGACCCGAGCGUUAUCCGGCUGUAUGGGGUUUAAGGGGAGCGUAGAUGGGUUCUUAAGUCAGUUGUGAAAGUUUGCGGCGCAACAGUAAAAUUGCCAUUGAUACUGGCAGUCUUGAGUACAGUUGUGGUAGGCGGAAUUCGUGGUGUAGCGGUGAAAUGCUUAGAUAUCACGAAGAACCCCGAUUGCGAAGGCAGCUUACUAAACUGUGACUGACAUUGAUGCUCGAAAGUGUGGGUAUCAAACAGGAUUAGAUACCCUUGUAGUC